AUACCGGAUAAGUCUUUACGGAGAAAGCUUUAUGCACCAUUGGAUGAGCCUGCACUUGAUUAGUUUGUUGGUGGGGUAAUGGCCUACCAAGACUGUGAUCAAUAGCUGAUUUGAGAGGAUGAUCAGCCACAUUGGGACUGAGACACGGCCCAAACUCCUACGGGAGGCAGCAGUGGGGAAUCUUGCACAAUGGAGGAAACUCUGAUGCAGCGAUGCCGCGUGAGUGAAGAAGGCCCUUGGGUUGUAAAGCUCUUUCGUCG
rnacentral:rRNA from 1 species